ensembl:lncRNA
UGUUUAAACAACUUACCUACUUUUCUAAUAGCUUUUCUACCUUCCUCCUGCAGUAGAUGGGAACAUAAGGGCACCCAAAGGAAUUUGCCCACCUCUACAGAGGUUUCAGCAGAUGUCCUCCAACAAAGAACACAAAGGUAGAGCUGUACCACUUCCCAGAACCAUUGAGAACAUUUCCAAAACUGCAUCAUCCAUUAGAUUUGCUGAACCAAUUGGUAAUUUGAAAGAAGAUUCAAAAUCAGAAGUAAAAAGUGGCACUAGAGAAGCAAGGAAUAUGACCCCAAAACAGGAUAUUUAUUUGAUAAUUCAGGGAGUCCCUUUACAAAAUAGCCAGAGUGGUCCUAAAUGGCAGCAGAAGCGAGGAGUAAGUAGCCUUGAGAAGACCUAUGAAAAGAGACAAAAACAGAAAACUGGAGUGAAAGUUGAAGAGCUUCCUAAGAAAACUCAGAGUAAAGAAGAGAGAAGAGAAACAAAGGACAAAAGAAAAGAUACUAAGAAGGGCAUGAAUAAGGAAAAAGAAAUAGAUAAGGUCCAAUCAAUGGAAGGAGGUGGUGAAAAAUAUAAAGGUGAAGAAGAAAGGAUGAACAUGGAAAAGAAGGGAGAUGAGGACAAGGAGGAUGAAGACAAGAAGGGAGAUGAAGGCAAGAAGGAAGACAAGGACUUAAAGGAGAAAAAAUACAAGGAAGAGGAAAAAAACAAAAAGAACUAUAAGAAAGGAUAUGAGGACCAGAUAGAGGACAAGGACAAGGAGGGAGUGGAAGACAAGACAGAGGACAGGGAGAAGAAGGGAGAUGAGAACAUAGAGCAAGGUGAGAAUGAGGACAAGGAGAGAGAUGGAGACAAGAUAGGGGACAUGGGCAAUAAUGGAUAUGAAGACAAGAUAGAGGAUAGGGACAAGAGAGAUGAAGACCAGACAGAGGACAAGUACAAGGAGGGAAAUGAGGACAAGACAGAGGAUAUGGGCAAUAUUGGAGAUAAAGACAUGACAGAUGAUAGGGACAAGAAGGGAAAUGGGGACAUAAGGGAAGGUGAGAAUGAGGACAAGGAAGAAGAGGAAAACAAGACAGAGGACAAGGACGAGGGAGAUCCAGACAAGACAGAGGACAAGUCCAAGGAGGAAGAGGAAGACAAGACAGAGGAUAUAAAAGGAGAUUCUAUGAAAAAAAAAAGGACAAAAAAAAAAGUGGGUAAAGAGGACAAGAAGAACAUAGACCCAAAAGAAGGUUAUGGAAAGAAAAUGGGCAGUAAAAAAAAAAGAUCACACUAAAGAAAAAAUAACACUAGAUUUCAUAAACUAAAAAAACAGAAUUGAAUAAUUUUGCUCUAACACAUAAACUUCAAAACUAGCUCCCAGUCUUCUAUGAUGUAGGUUAGAAUGAUACACUCCUUACAUUCUCUUUAGUCACAAAUUUUCUGCUCCUUUGCUUGUAAUCUGGAAGAAGAUCUUUCAGAGAUUGCUUCUAUUUACAUCUCUGUCUCAAACUUCAGUUUCCAAACACAAGUUUUCAAAAUGUAUGUUCAUUAUGAACCAUUGCUGGGAAAAUACAAUUAAGUAAAAAUUAAUUAAAACUCUGAUUAAAGCAAUGUAGAGUUAUUUUUCUCAAAGAAGUGUGGUAUUUCCCUGUCUAACCAAAUAGCUAUUUACUUGGCCCCUACUAAGUUCAAUAUCCAUAAAGGCAUGCAAAAAUAUCUUUAUCAAGUAGAUAAAUAAGAACAUUAAAAACAUUUAAAAUAUAUAAAUAUUUUUAAAAUGAUUCAGAGCAGUAAAUACAAUAAGAAAGAAUUCAGAAGAGGAAAAUCCCUUUGGAUAGGGAUAAUACAUGAAA